AACGAACGCUUGCGGCGUGCUUAACACAUGCAAGUCGAACGAGAAAGGGGCUUCGGCCCUGAGUAAAGUGGCGCACGGGUGAGUAACGCGUAGGUAAUCUACCCCUGUGUUCGGGACAACAUCGGGAAACUGGUGCUAAUACCGGAUACGUUUCACGGAUUGCGAAAUAAGUGAAGGAAAGAUGGCGAUCUCUUCGGAGAGCUAUUGCACGGGGAUGAGCCUGCGUACCAUUAGCUAGUUGGCAGGGUAAGGGCCUACCAAGGCGACGAUGGUGAGGGGGUCUGAGAGGAUGACCCGCCAAACUGGCACUGAAAAACGGGCCAGACUCCUACGGGAGGCAGCAGUGAGGAAUUUUGCACAAUGGGGGAAACCCUGAUGCAGCGACGCCGCGGGAGUGACGAAGGUCUUCGGAUCGUAAGCUCUGUCAGCAGGGAAGAACCGCAUAGGGGCAAAUAGCCCCUGUGUCUGACGGUACCAUCAAAGGAAGCACCGGCUAACUCCGUGCCAGCCGCCGCCGUAAAAC
rnacentral:rRNA from 1 species